UUUACAAGUAGUUUAAAUUUACUUUAACAACUUUUCCACAAAACCAAGAUAUUGGACACUAACCACGUCCCCUAGUUGAGUGCCAAGCAGAGACAGCCAUUAUCAUCUUUCAUUGUUUUGACACUUCGACGCCUUUCCGCUUGACCUGGCCCAGAGCUUGGCCACCUGACAACGCUGACAGCGGAUAUGGCCAAGACGUCGACAGACCCUGUGCUCCUGUUUCAGUCUCUGAUCCAACUGCCGAUGCCACCUGUUUAGGGUCCCCAAGCUGUUGCCGCUCAGCUGCUAAAAGUUUUAAGUUUUUUUUUAUUUUGGCUUUAAUAAGGUACUUGGUUUCGUUUAAGGCCGCUCGUGGCACUUGCCACUUGAGCAGACGCCGCAAUCGGAAGUUCUUGUUUAUGAUAUCGAUCCUGAGGCCAAUAUCAGCUGCCAGCUGGAGGUUGAUUUACUGCCACAUCCCCAGUGAUCUCGGAUAAGGUUAAGUGAUGUUUAAACCGAAAUGUGCUGGGCACCCAAAAAGCCAGCCAGAAGCAGCAGGGGAAGUCGUCUUCAUCGCAGACUCUGCUGCCAUCCGGGGCCGCAGAUGCAGAUACAUCCACAACUCGCACAAGUGCAGAUUCCGAUUCGGAUACAGAUGCCGGCUGUAGCGACUUUUUAGCCCCAGCGAUUUUGUUUACAAUUGGAGCACGUCUGUUUUGGCUGCGGCAGCUGCUGACCGUUGGCCAUUAACUUGCAGCUGAGUCUGCAAUUACAUCUUCAGGCGGUCAGUACAUGAGGAACUGGAUGGAUUGGCUAAGAAGAAAC